rnacentral:rRNA from 1 species
AGUGAACGCUGGCGGUAGGCCUAACACAUGCAAGUCGAACGGCAGCACAGUAAGAGCUUGCUCUUACGGGUGGCGAGUGGCGGACGGGUGACGAAUACAUCGGAAUCUACUUUUUCGUGGGGGAUAACGUAGGGAAACUUACGCUAAUACCGCAUACGACCUACGGGUGAAAGCAGGGGAUCUUCGGACCUUGCGCGAUUGAAUGAGCCGAUGUCGGAUUAGCUAGUUGGCGGGGUAAAGGCCCACCAAGGCGACGAUCCGUAGCUGGUCUGAGAGGAUGAGCAGCCACACUGGGACUGAGACACGGCCCAGACUCCUACGGGAGGCGGGAGUGGGGAAUAGUGGACAAUGGUGGAAAGACUGAUGCAGCAAGGCCGGGUGAGUGAUGAAGGCCGUAGGGUUGUAAAGCUCUUUUACACGGGAUGAUAAUGACAGUACCGGGAAAAUAAGCUACGGCUAACUACGUG